CCUAGACAAUGUCAAAUUAGACUUAUGAGGUGUUGCAAAAUUCUUGUAAAUCGUUUUCUUGGUGUUUAAAGUACAUUUUUUUAAGGAGAUUGAAACUGCCCUUCCAUAUCAUAUUGUGGAUAUAGUAAGGGUCUUAGAUGCUCUUCGACUUCGUAUACUAUGUAUUGACCUUUUAAGUUUUUGAUUCGAAUGUCACUGAUGAGUAUUUUGUAGACCAAAGAGAGGCUACAGAUAGCAGAGUGAUACCCAAACCAUAAGUCGAAACAAAACUAACAGCGCCAUUAUUAGAAAGGAAAGCGAAAGACAAACAUCAUAUAGUUACGAUACUGUUGUCAGGUC
rnacentral:lncRNA from 1 species